AUUCCUCCAUGCAGAAAAAAAUGGCACCCAGUGACAUUCAUCAACAUUUGCUGGAGCUUGAUGGAGACCAAACAAUUGGAUGUGAGCGCAGUGAGGUGGUGGAUGGUGUGUUUCAGCAGUGGUGACGGCAACGUGAAAGACGAGCCGCGUUCUGGAUGGCCAUGCAGAAUUUUGUGACUGUGGCAUGCAGGCUCUUGUUCAUCAUUGGCAAAAAUGCAUAGCUGAUGGUGAUGACUGUUGAAAAACAGUGUUCUGUAGCUGAGAAUUUGUUCUUCCAAACAGUGUUAUUGUGCUCUUUGUUGUCAUUUCCGUGGAAGUAAAUAGGGACAUUACUUUCAAGGCAACCAACAUACAACUUUGCAAGUUAUACACAUGUUACUCUCCCACCACUCUUCUUAUUUCUGUGAGGUUAUCUGAAUUAGAACUGUGUAUGAAUUAACAGCUGUAUUUUUCUGUAUGUGUGUUAACCAAAAAUUGGGCACUGAAACUUCUGCAUGGUCCAGCCUCAUGAAGGAAAGUAGUGAUUUAGAGCAGUCCGGAACAAUCACACUUCAUCCUGGCAAGAACGUACGGAUGGCUGUAUUCUAAGAGCAGAGAAGUUUUCAUUAGGGAGUUGGUGAGAAUUGCCCAUUGUUUACAGUCUUUUUGCAGGACAUCACAGUUGGUUUCUUCUUAACCUUUUAAGUGAGUUCUGCAGAGGCCAUAGGGCUUUUGCUGUCUAAUAUCUAGUUCUUUAUUUAGCUAGAUGUAAGCAUGUACCUUGAGGAUGGCAGAGACUUUUAAGAAAGUCAACUGUAUGCUGUAUGAUUGUUUUCAGUUCUGAGUGAGUUGCUGUUCAGUCCCACUGCUGCUUUGUAGUGUUUUGAAAAUUGAUACAUGGGAGUGUUUUUCAGUAAACUAAAAGCUGCAGUUAGUCUUUCAUGCCCCGUGUUCAAUUUUCUGAAACACUCACUGGAUUUCUUGUUCCAAGAGUCUUCCUAUGCCUCGUGCUGUGUUUUCUAUUUUGCUUUUUCUUUCUAGUCUCCUUUUACAAGCGCUGAAAGUUCCUAACUCCUUUCUAGUCUUAGAAGUAAAUCACACAGACUUCCAAGUGAAGUUUUUACCAUGUGCUUGAUAUUUUAAGGGAUUUAUAAUCCUUUUAUUUUUUUUUCUUCCACCUCUUGCCUUGUGAACAGCUUCUGAGUAUUGAGGUGCAAACCGUUGAAGUAUUUUGUUUUGGAAGCAGUUAGUUAAUUUAUGACCCAGCAGUAUGAACGACUAGCUUGAAUUAUUUUUUUGAAACAAGCUUCAUCUUGUUUUUGCUCACUCUGUAUUUAAUCAACAUGCAGUCUAUUCAGCAGGCUCAUUAAUAGGUCUUCAGUUGUUCCCAGUCUUUGCUAAUUAAGAUAGGUUUCUGCAAGUUUUACUGCCUUUUUGACCUCAUUUUCUGGAUUGGGCCUUAAGCAUUAAAAAUCUUCAGUGAUAACAGCUUAAUAAAGGACGGUGUUGCAUGGAUUUUUAUUUUCUCAUUUUAUACCUACAUUUCCUAUCUUUUGACAAAAUUGUAAUUUUAUUUUUUGACUGCUUAAAGCCUCUGUCAAAACAUGGGAUUAGGGGGUGUGUUUUGUUGUAAGAUUAUAGGAAUUGUGGUUGCCUGAGUUUCUUCUCCUGCAAUUUUCAUUAAAAGCUCAGAUAAUUUCCGUUGAAGUGGUAAUUUUUCUUCAUGAUAUUUAGCCUGGCUUUUCCUGUCAUACCUGGUUUGUAUAGACGCAUCUGUUUUGUUUUGAAGUAUUACAUUCGUUUAGCUGUUGAACAUUUUCUUGCCUUGAUACUGUUUACGUAGGACAGUGAAUGAGUUCUCUGAGUCUGUAGUAGUUGCUGCACUUCCUAUGUAGUGGCAGGAAUUUGAGAUCCAUGUUUUUACUUUUAGCUCCAGGUUUUUGUCAGUGAGCUCCCUCUUCAGAUUGUCUUGACCGUUUGUGAUAUCACCAAGCACACAGCACAAAAAGAUGACCAAGUCCUGUCACUUCUGAACUUGCACAUCCUUACUCUUCUAGGCUGUACCAGUGCUUUUCGAAGGUUGUUUUACUUGGGAUGCUGUGGUUGCUGUCCUUCUUGGUCCUAGCUUUUUUGCUGUUCGGUCUUGCAGACGGAAAAGUUUCCAAAGGAGCAGGGAGGAAGUCUGGCUGUCUCUAGUCUUCUGUUUUUGGAGAGAAGACUUAGGGGGGCAUUUUGCUACUGUUUCUAGGCCACUUCAGAACUGUAUGUAGCUGGGAGCUGGUGCUCUUUGUCAGAGUGCCUCCACUGCCGUGCUGCUGUUACCCUUGCUGGUAUUUGGCCAAGAAACCAUCAGAGAGCUUUAGGUUUUACUCUCUUUUGCAGAUGAAUGUGCACAAGCUUUUUCUUAGAUCCCAAGCCAGACAGUUGCUCACCAGCUCCAAAUUGGAAAAAGCGUGAACUUGUGGCACGAUGCUGAGUCUUAAACUGGAAGUCUUGCAGAGAAGUACAACAGAAACUGUAAAUAAAGCGGUGCAGCUUUCAGCUGAUUUAAGGUGCCUGUCAGCAAAAUACGACACAGUUUGGUUCCAGAUAGCCACAGCUGACCAAUUUAGUUUUGAAGGUAGUCACACUUUAGUUGCAGGCAGAUUAUUGAAGGAUUAAGCUAAGAGUAAACAGAGAGCAUGCUGGGUAAGCUCGCGUGGUCCUGCUGUGCUGUAAAAGGAAAGGCUUUGCUUUGCCUUUGCUUUUAGGGAGGGAAGAGAAAAGGUGGUUGGGUAAUUAACAUGAAUAUGGACUGAAUGAAUGGACUAAAAGUCACGGUCUUGAAUAAUUUUAUAUAGUAUUCUCUAAUCAAUUUUUUUUGUCUUAGAAAUUAAGGUGACAAUCUUCAAGUUGUCAGCUAUGCUCUCAAGCCUUUACUGUAGCUUUCCUGUAUUGUAAAACUGAUGUUCUAAUUUAAUGGUUUCACUAAGGGCAAAUAAGAGAUCUGUGCUUAGAAUGAUGAGUUUUGUUAUGACAAAGCUGAAAUGUUUAAAACCAUUUUAUAAUUUUACCUAUAAAAAUACACAAAUUUUGCCUAAACUAUAAACAAAAUUAAAAACAAACAUUAAAAAAAAAAUCCAGAAAAGGGACCACGCUUCUUUUGGUUUCAGUCUGGCAUUUUACUUGGCAAAAGCUACUACGUAACUGGAAGGACAUUUCUUCCUUCUUGUUCUUAAACACAUCUAUUCAGUAGUUUGGAAGUAAGGAAACCUGUGCAAUCUCCCUGAAAUCUGAUGAGUUCUGCAUUCCUCCUCCAGCAGGAUAGGAUGACUCAUUUUUAAAUGGAAACUUGUUAACAUAUUUAUACAGGUAAGGUGUGGAAGGUGUAUUGCUGAAGUAACUUUCAGCUCCUUAAAAUUACAGUAGGAACUGUGAGCCUUUCCAGUCCUAACAAAAAGAGGUGCUUUCUUUUUUUCUUUUUAAGAAGUGGAAAAGCAUAAAGCAGCAAGAGUGCAGAGUGCCUGGUCCUUAAUGGUACUACAGAUCACUUGGACCAUGUGAAUGAAAGGUCUCACGAUAAAAGGAGGACACAGGUAAACACUACUAUUCCUUUCACUAGUUGCUCCUAAGUGGAUUAGUGUCAGGGUUUUGUGCUAGUGCCUUGCAAAAGCAGUAGGUUGUUUGUUUAGUUGUAUAUUCAUAUGUGUUGCUGUUGGACAUAACACAUAUACAGAGAACAUUUAUGGACCUGAAAUGACUUAAUGUGAAAUAUAACAUCUAGAUGAUGUGUUUUAAACCAUAAUGUUUUCUGGUCCUUUCAAUUGUUCUGAAAUCCUGUGCUACUUUUGUAUUUUAAAAUGCAAGUUUUUCUUGCAUGUUUGCUUAAUGUUUCUUUUCUUGCUAUAAAAUAGCUGUUUGUCUCCUCUGUUGUUGUUUGAGGUAUCUACCCAAUUACAUACAGAAGCUGACUAAGAGAAGUGGUAUGUAACCGUUCUCGUAUUAGACAAGUUUUUCCUUGCUUUUCCUUUCAUUUGUGGUAAUAUUUAAAUGGUUUAGGAGUGGGAGGUUAAACAGAUAAAAGAAAAGAAAAAAAGAAUCUUUAAAUUGACAGAUUAUCUUCAGUAGUGGGAGUCCACAGUUAUGAGGGGAAAGUUACAGGUAAGAAGCGUUUUCUUCUCCUUCCUGACAUGAAUUUGGCUUGACAUCAGAUGGCACUUGUACAUGAAAUAUUAGAAAGGUUAACAUAUUCAUAUGUCACCAGUUAAACCUGUUGUUACUGCUCAAAUACCUGUUAUUGAUGAAGCAGAACAUUGUGUGGUUCUUGAACAUCGUGAAGGUAGUGAUCACUGUCAGGGCAAAAAUUAUCAGUAUUCCACAGUGAAAACACUUUGUAUACUAGGAUAAAAUUGCUAAUCUCAGUGUUGUGCUCUGUAAAACAGUGGUGAUCUUCAAGGGGGACAACUCUGAUUUGGGGACUGUUUUGACUGGGGGACAAGGCGAGGAGGUUUUACAGGGAAGACUUAGAUGUUUUUGAUUCAGUUUUUGAGCCAAGAUUUUCUUCUGAACAUUUUACUUAGAAGCAUCUCUUUGGGUGUGAGCCAGUCCACAGACAGUACCUUAACUGAAAUUAGUCUCCCAGCUGUAAUUGAAACUGCAAUGGUGAAUAAUGGGUUACGUUAUUAUUACUGUUUAAUUUUGAUUUCCAUCAGAUAGGAUGCAUUCAUCUAUAUGGUAAUUAAUUAGUGGGUACCUUUGGUUACUGACUUAGCUUUUCACUGAGUUCAACUCUGUAAAGUUAAAAUAGUCUUGAUGAUUUUUUUUUUUGUUGUUGUUCCUUCUUAUGUCGCAGAACCAGUAGUGCAUUCAGUGCAAUUAUAAUUUGUUAUGCAGAGAAGCUCUUCAGAUGUGGGCGACUGGUAUGUUUGGAAUACUAAGUCUAUAGAUGAUAAUAUAGCAAAGAAGGAGGCAAGGGUAAGGGCAGCAGCAGACAGGUGGUGUGAACAGGCCCCUGGGAUCGCAAGGCAACGAUCUGAAGGUUUCUCUAGAAUGUUUAUGUUCAAUUUCAAUACUCGCAGCUGAUUUUGAAAGUGAAUCUUAAUCCUUUUUUUUUUUUUAAAGUGCAGUCUAUUCAGAAGUAAGUUCCAGGAAUUAGAAAUGAGCAUUGCAGGAGACAAAGUGGAUGGUAACGCCCUAAUUAAAGCGAAGAACACUGGUAUUUGUGGCUGUUUUCCCACUUCCUUCCUCUCUUCAUUUGUAUCUCAGUGAAAAGUGGGGUGCUCAGUGUUUACCUGCCUUAGCACCAGCAGCAGCCUGAUCUUGUUGGCAUGUCCUCUCUCCACUGAAGAAGUAACUGGUUAUGUUAGAGCAGAUGGCCACAAUGCAAGCAGUGCUCACCAGUAAGAGAUGGGCACCAUGGAGGAGUCUUCUAACCCAGUUACUUUGCAGUCCUUUGCCCUGGCUAACUCAGCAGUGGCUGCCAGCACUGUCAGUGUUUGGCUGUUCUGUGUUAACAAGGCACGGAGUUGUUUCUUAUGCUAACAGGCAGCUUUGAUCACAUGUGCCAGUUCUCUGGCUUCUCUCGGGGAAAUCAUAAUGGUGUAAAGUUCAAGAUGUUUUUUAAAAAAUUAUCAUUCCUUUUAACUGUUAGUUCUGAUGCACUAUAUUACACAUCCACGUUGCCAGCCUUUGGGUGCUCUUUGGUGCAAACUCUUGUGCAAAAGGGAGAAGUCUGAACACAUUUCAAAAGUUAGCAAUCUCAUCUCAGUCUUUUGCUACGUGAUGAAUGUUUUUCGGAGUACCAGUCUUGGUGGUAAAAUGUUUUUAAUUGUCAUCUUUGAUACUCUUGAAUCUCUAAACUAACAUCAUAUUUAGGUUUGUGCGUUUUUGUUUUCUUAUUCCCCCCCUUUUCUUUGAAAGUGCACACGCAUCUGUCUUUGACGUUCCUGUUGCUUCCUGGAAAGUCUCCUUGGCUGCUCUGAAACUUUGUGGACCGCCUGGAACGAUGGAGUUUUCAUUGAACACUGGCUUAAUGAGAAAUAAUGCUGUUUCUGAUGAAUGGUGCGAUCCUGUGGGGAGGUAAAUAAGAACUGACGGUGCUUUCCUACUCAGUGCUGGCUCUUUGGAGCACUUCAUGCUAAUGGAAUGAACUCUGGCCAUUCUUCAGAAAGGAAACAAAAAAAGGAACAAGUUCACUUCUGGUUUAAAUCAAAACACUUUUAAACGCUUGUGAAUCAUUUUAAAACUGUAAGAAUGGAGAUGCUUGUUAUGCGCUGCUAUGGCAGGAACUGCUCUAAUUACCGAUGAAAGGGGAAGACUGCUUUCUUCAGCAUUAACAGAAUGUUAAUUCUUUAAUGGCAGUAGAACUUUUGAGAAAUAAAUCUACCCACCUUCGGAAAUAUAUCUAAAACAAAUACAGUUCUGAACCUUUGAGAGUCGGGCACCAUGCAGUCAUCUAACUUGAUUUUUUUCUUAUUUUUCUGUUUCUGCAAUGAUUUUAUUUUUAUGAUGUUAGAGGAAUAACUUUUUUUUCCUGUGUUUUUUUUUAUGUAGUUUGUGUGGUUGGUCUGGCAUUGCUUCCAUUUGGACUGGUGUGAGUUUCCAAUAAUCCUGCUUCUCCUGUCCUUCUGUUCUGGUUUCCUGUCCCAUUUGUCUCCUGGUCCACCUUUUCUCCUUCCCUCUCUUUUAUCUCCUUUGCCCUGAAGUUUGUCAAGUUCUUCAUCUUGUCUUUCCUUUUUUUUUGAUACUGUGGACUGUCCCUCCUUUUUCAACGUUAAUAUUUAGAGCCUACGUAAUGGACAGGAAAGAUUGCUUUAGUCCUCACUUGUUUCUGUUACAUGCAGGCUGUAGAGAAGCAGGCCUACUUCUCUGUCUUCUGCUUGUGUUAUGGGCACAGCAAGGCUGAAUCGCUAGAGCAGACCUGUUCUCAUCACUCACAGAGGUGGUUCAUUGAACGAUAGAAUUCCAGCCCAAAUCCUCAACCUGACUUGAAGGCUUCAGUGUAUAUGUUGGCACCAUUGGAUGCUCGGUGCCCAAACAGGCUAAGCAGCUGCAGCUCUGGUACUCGGGGGGAAUAGGACACGGUCAGUAUUUCUCCAUGUUUGUUCCAGAUGUCUUGCAUCAUACUCACCAAAACAGGGGCUGUCAAAUUCUCAAAGCUGUUAGUAUUUUUGGGAGGGGGAGUGCAGCUAAAUGCGGUUUUGUUGUGGAGAAAGGAGUUCAGAGCCCACUCCUCCCUUUCUGCUUGCCUGAGUUUCUUCUCCCUAACCUACUGGUUAUCUGCUGGUCCUGAAGAGAGGAAAUGGGAAGGAGUCCUCUGGCAGUAGCUCUUUUUGUGAGAUCUGAUUUUCUCCAAGUGCAUUGAUGCAUAGUCUGACAUAGCAGAGAUGCUAUGCUGGUGUAUAAAUAACUUUAGAACUGUGUUGUAGCUGUAGAUGACAGUUUGUGCAUUUUAUUGGGACUAUUAUAAUUAUGGGGUCUGCCAUAAAUCUUCAUUAGGAAACUGUAAACAAAAACCUUUAAUUAAGAGAAAAAAUGCCCUCAGCCCACGUAUGAAAGGAAGAAACAGCUCAAACUGAAGAGAGCAGCCAGAAUAAUAGCUGUGUUCUAUGCAAUAAUGAUGGAGAGCAGACAAAGAACAUACACCAAGGAGCCACGGAAGUGAAGUAUGGUGAAAGGACUGGUGACGGAUGAAGCUGUUAGGAGCGUGCCAGCCCACGUGGGUGCAGUGAUCUGUGUGUUGGCACCAGUGUGCAGGGGGAAUGCUCGGAGUGGUUGCACCAGGCAUUUGCUAAGAGCACAGGCACCGCAGGCUCAUGCGGGAGGAACGGCUGCUUCAUUGGGAAGCAGUUCGUGCUUUUCCUCUUGAGAUGCAGACUGGAUAUAUUCAAGCAGUAGGCUUGAAUAUUCAAUCAGUCUCUGCUCCUGCAGAAGGAAAUGAAGACAUCUAAGAAAUCCCCGUUGUCCCAGAUGUGUACACACACAUGCUUUCCUGCAUUUAGAAAAUUUCUUGAAAUCUGAAUGACUCCAGAAUUAACUCACUUGUCCUUCCAGAAUCCACACACAACUUUCUGCAGCAUUGCGGUCACUGGGGAAAGGUUUGAUUACGUUUGAACCUGUGUGCAGACUUGCCCUAGGCUGCACACCGAUGACUAAUCCUAAAUGAGCUCAGUGCUCUCUGCAGAGAGAGCUAGCGUUGGAACAGUUGCAGUUGCGCCCAUAAUUACAUUAAAAGUCCUCUAUUCUUCCACCUUCCCACCAUGUUGCUGCUUGAGGAGGCACAGCCCUUCAGCUUCUCUGAUCCCUGUUACAGCCCCGAUGCUUAUCCAAGUUUAUUCCAAGUUCUACAGCUGGUACUCAGAAGAAAACUUUGCUCCUGCUUCUCCUUGUACCAGCCUUUCACACUGGGCCUGGAAAAUUGCUGUACCUGUAGUCAUACCCAGCCAGGGAACCUGAUUUUCCACUGCCAUAACCAGGUGGAUGUGUUGCCUACUAUCAGCAUCCAGAAAAUGAAGGAUCACUGGCAGUGUGAGAGCAGCAUUGUGACCCAUAUGGAUAUGAGCUGGAUUGGAAGCAGAUGAUGUGUAGAAGUUGGUGAGGAGAGGUAAAAUAUUGUGCAUGCCAUUUCUGAAUUGGCUCUCCUCAUUGCAGGGGUUUUAAUGGCUGUGCUUGCCUUGCUGUUUCCAUCCCAUUCUAAUAGUGUGCCUACCAGUACAGCUAUGCUAGGGCAACGCGAGGCCUGAAAAGCACUGAAAUCCACCAUGGUGGUUCUGUUUAUAAAGCAGGAGAAUGUAGUAGUUGUGAAUUUUCUCCUUGCCUUCAGUAGGUUGGAUUUCUUUUUUUCUUUUCAUAAUAGAGUACAAUUUUUUUUUUCUUGACAUUUUUUUUUGUAGACUUCUAGCUGAACCACUCUGAAUGUAGCUGUUCUCCAUAAAAUACUUCAUGCAGAUAGAUAUCCUUUGCCUGGCCCCUUGAUUGUUUGGUAAUGCUUCAGUUUUUUAAUGGACAGUGAAUGUGAGCUGAGUUGUGGAAAAACAAAAUUUGCAGAGAGCCUCACAACAUUUAUGCAGCAACUGCAAAAAGCAUCGGCGUUUACUUUGCAGGUUUUCUAAGGUUUACACCAGGGCAGGUUGAAAUUGAAUGGAAACAUCGAAGUAGUUGGCUUGGGAUCUAACUCCAAUACAAUUAAUUUCUUACUGACUUCUGUUUGAUAUCAAAAAGUAACAGGACACUUACCUUUAUGAUUUUAAGAGGCUUAACUUUAGAUGAUAGAGAGGAUCAGAAAUAUAAGCAUCUGCUCCAGAGAAGCUCCCUGAGCCACAUAUUUAUGUUUUCUAAACAAUCAUACAUGAAGUGUAUUCACCAAUUGGGCAGAAAGGAUAAAAAGUGAAGAUGGUGCCAAAUCUGCAAAGAAAAUGUCAUAUAAAAGAGGGUUUCAUACUUACUUUGCUAUAAACUUUUGCAGCAUUCUUUAAAUGAACCUGACUUGCUAGGUUUUAUGCUAUAGAAUCACUAUGGCUUUUUCCAGAUUUUCUAGGUAUUAAAAUUCAGCCGUCCAACUGCAGUGCUCCCUUUCCUUAUGCUAUUUUAUCCUUUAGAGGAGAGUGUUCUAAAUGAUAGAUGUUAUUGUUCGACAAAGCCAUCUUACUACCAAGAAUUUAAAGCUUAUCAGACUUCUGAAUAUAGAGACCUCAGAUUGGAGAAGAAAAGAAUGCUAAUAUAUAUAUAUAUUUUUUAAGUUACAUCUUUCAAAUGAGGGAAUGCUCAGGUAUUAUUGUGCAUCUGCUCUUGGACCUUGCAUUCACAACCUGUAGGAACUUUGCACAUUUCAUUAACCUACAAAAAAAAGCAGCGUUAAAUUCUAGAUUUAGAAAUAUUCUUUCUGUCAGUCUUCUGGAAUUACGGGACUUGUGUUCAGAGUAGUCAGUAGUUACAUCACAAUAGUGAAAGUGUUGCAGAUGUGAGAAUGAACUAAAAAGACACAUUAUGAAUGAUGUUUUUUGUUUGAUUUAUCUCCUCAGUUUUGAUUUUAUCUUUGUUAUGAUCUAGUGAUAGAGCAUAAAGCUUAGCCAAAGUUUGGCAGCUUCAGGGUGGUUCGUCGUGGCAUAUUUGUUUCACCUUCUCAGGUCUUGCUGCUUAGUGAUGCUCCUUUCUUCUCUUCUGGCUGGAGCUGCCUGGAUUCACACCUUAAUGUUGCACUAGUUGCUUUGGAAUUCAUUAUAGGAAUUUUGCUGUCAAAAGCUUGGUAUCAGAGUGUGGCUACUUAAAGGAAGUGAGUUUUCAUGCAGGGAUCAGCUUGUUUAUACCUGUUUUUCUCUUGCAAACGGGUCUUUUUUUCUUCCUUUUGCUACCAUUUUCCCACGUCUUCAGUGAUUCACAGCCAUCUACGCCGAGGUCCCCUGGGACUGCUGGAGAUGACUUUGUUAUUAGAUGGUGUUCCUUGGUGACCCAAGUUUCCCUUGUAAUUUUAUUCCAGCGAGGCGAUGGUAUCAGGCCUCUGGGGAAUGGCUUGAGUUGCACACACAGAAAAGAAGCUUGUUCAAAGUGACCUAAAAGCUUAGAAGUCUCAAAGCAAUCAUCAGCUUUCAAUUCUGGACUGCAAAAUGUGAGUUGCUGUUGCGCUGCUGCUCCAAGACCGAGCUCUUCUGGAUGUGUUGCUUUGUCCGUGUGACAUGGGCACCUAUGUCUGAUGACCUCAAAUGUCUGUGUUAUCCUUGAUGCUUCCACUAGCAAAGCCCUCUCUUGUACUCAUGUGCUUACUGUGUGAGACUGCUAGAUCCCGUAGGUGGUCUCUUCCUUUUUUCACCACUGCAUAGAGGUGUAUCCCUCAGCCACUCAAAUUCAUUGCAAGACUUGCCUUCCAAGUGAUGAGUUGCAAUAGUGAAUGUGCCUCUGUUCACUUGAAAUUGCACUUGUUGUAAAAUUGUUUCCUAUAGGUUGCUGAUUUGCUGUCAUACGGAUAGUUAGCAGUGUUAUUAAUCAUUUAUUUUCACUGUUGACUGGAGUCUCACUUAAGAUGGUGAAGAAGGAUGCAGAGGGCAUUCAGUAUAAAUCUGAACUGUGCAAUUCUCUCUGUAACUAUAUGUUGUGAAGAUGCAAGGGAAUUAAUUCUGCUUCUGGCACAAAUGGCAUUUAAUAUGAACCGAGAAACUUCAGCUGAUGUUCAGUAUUUUAGUGUGUGUCAGACAAACCCAGAAAUUUUCUCCAUGACAACUGUGAGUGAUGCUGACUGAUGAAAUAUUUCACCCACUUCAACAGUGGGAGCGUUUUUCAAUUAAAAAGAAUAGGUAGUGUGUACUAUAUCAAAUGCUUUAACUCUGCAAAGUUGGAAGUGAGAAUUAAUAGAUUCAUGCAGGAGUGUAUUUGCAAGGGAUUAAUGACUUCUGUUAAGCUAGUGAUUAUUCAUUUCCAUUUGAAUACGUUGCUCCAAGAUCACACUUGGAAUCCCCAAAAAAUAAAGAAGUGAAAAUUAUGGAGAUGUCAGGGCUUGAAGGCAGGAAGGCCAGGGGUAUUUGAAGAAAAACAGAGCAUAAGGUAGAUAGAAUAAGGAAAAGGUGAGGAAUUUGAUGCAGUGAGGAGGAUAGGAAGGUGAUUGGAAAGAUCAGGAGGAAGAAUGAAUUUCCAGUGAUACUCGCACAGAAAGGGGAGAGCUUUAGAUCAGAUCUAUUGAUUGGCGCUGGUACAAAACUAAUCUUUUUACCUUAAGAACAACUCUGCAGCGACAGCUGUUGUGUUACUAAUGUCUCCUUCUAACAAAGACAUUACUUUAACGCUGGGAGAUUGCUCAAAGCUACAUCUGUAACUGAGGCUGUGCCAUGUUCUCAACUACAGUAAGGUAGGUUUUUAUCUAGUCUAUUUUUGCAUAUUUUUAUUUUUGUCUCCUGAAUACUUCUGUUGCCAUUCUGAUUUCCUCAAUAGUUUCUAAUCACACUAAAUGCGAAUUAUUAGAGGGAGGAGUAAAGACUGGAAUGGUUCUGGGAGGCUGUUUUCCCCCAGUCGUGUAAAAUCCUUAUAGGCAACAAUGGGAUCAACAUGAGAGAUGAAGAUGAAAAAAGUGAAUGAGGGGUUAAAAAGGCGAUGUAAGUGGCUGUGGAGCAGUGUUGUCCUUUAUCAAAUAAAACGUCCUCAUCCGCUAACCAUCCAUCUCAGUCCUCAUUAAAGUUAGUGGGAGCUUUCCAUUAACGGGAAAGGAUAUUGGCUCAGCCCCAGGUCCUCCGUGCUGGGCGUAGCGGGCACAGUCCUUGAGCUCAGAGGUGAGCAGAAGCGAUUUUACAACUGAAGAGCCUGAGCGAAAUCCCAGCCCAUCGCAUCCAAUUGUGAGGCUCCCAUUAACUUCAUUAGCGCAGGAGUUUUGCCGCUACACUCAGCAUGAAGCGAAAUCAAUGCGGCGCGAGGCAGCGGGAUGUUUAACAACAGAGAUGGUAGGUUUGUGUUAUCUGCAGCUGGAGUGCCCCAGCCUCGGCUAUUUUCGCUGAUGAAGUUUCAUGCUGCCACGUCCUCUGAUGCAUGGGAACAGUGGAAGUAUGAGUGAAUUAUGCACCACUACAGCUGCUUAUUUAGUGCAGAGAGAAACUCCGGUGUGCUACCUGGUAGGGGCUUUGCAUCCAAAAAUGCUCCCUCUGCAGUUUUCCCAUUCAUCCAGAAGUGGCUAUACAUAAGACACAGCAGAUAACUGGCAUAUAGUAAGUGUUACUCAGCUUCCAUUCCGUACACAGAUGGAAGAAAGAACAGAGCAAGAGUUAAAAGUAAGAAAUGUGGAGGAAAAGAAACUUCGAAGAAAGAAAUGAGCUGUACCCAUCCAGCUGUGCUAUCUGCUGUGCUAUCGGCAGGGGAAUGAUGUAUUUUUGAGAAGGAUGUGUGUGUAAAGAAAAAAAUGAUUGAAAACACAUGCGAAUGGAAAGGGCUUUCACCCAGCUCUCCCUCAGGCUGAGAAGAAAGCUGUCCAUUGCACUAAUUGUGAUGUGAGCCCCAGAACUGUGCGGCACUGCAAGGCCGGAUCCCUCCCUGGAGAGCAGAGACGAAUGCAGAAGGACGGCACGGGAGGUCAGGGGCAGGUCAGUGCAAAGACUGCAGUUUCCAGGCGACUGGUGCAGGUUUUUCUAGAAAGGCCUGCAAAUCUAUUUCCUGUAAGUAGCUGAGCUCCCAAACCCAAGAGUCUUAAAAUCCCAGCCUCUUUCGGGAUUGCUGUGCGGUUAUUGAUAGCUCACCCCGGCCUGCUUUUGAAGUCUCACUGCUGAGACUCUGCUGCACUGAUCUGUGAGCACACAUUCUCCUCGUGUGAUAUGGCUCGGCCCUUCAAAUGCUAUCAUCGGCAACAGCAGCUUUGGUGUUCGUGUGCAGAAUUGCUGAAAAUUGAGCAUCUUUCCCCUCCUUUUCCAUGUGGUAAUGCAGAGCGUGUCCAACCCUCCCUCCCACCCCACCCCCCACGCACGCCAUCCAUUUUCCUGCUGGAGCAUCCGGCCAGCAUGACUUCAUCUGCUGGGCUCUCAGGAGGCCCGGGGCUGCUGGCCAUGUCCCAGAGCCACGGGAAUGUGCUGAGCAAACACCUCAGCGUCAGCCCACAAGAAGCCUUCCUGGGAGCUGCGUCCAUCAGCCCUUCUCUGCUGGCACGGGGCUGUUAGCGGGAUGGAGCAGCAGGCCACAGCACGGCCAAAUGAAAGGGCUCUUGUUUCAAAGUGUGUUCUUGUAGCUUUCUAGGAUUGUGUUUUUGCACAGAAGCAGGCAUUCAUUUGUUGUGAAAUUGCAGUUUCAUCUUUUAUACUGACGGCAUGGUUUCUGUCACCGCGAGUGGUUCCAGUAAAGCCUGCGCUGGAUUCUAAAUGCUGUGGGGGAAGGAGGGUGCCUUGCCAGCAGUAUCUUCAACACACAAACUUAAGCAGAACCACGCUUUUCCCUCAGCUCUUUCUGAACAUCAUCGUGUUCGUGCAUCAGGCUCAAUGGGAAGGGCAGGAGUUCUCCCAGGUGCUGAGCUGUGCAUGCUGAAGGGUGUGCUUGGUGCUGGCUGCAGCCUCCUGCAGGGAACGGGAAAAUGGGGUGGGUUAGAUGGUGCUGGGAUACCGAGAGAAGGCGUUCUGUUUUGGUAUUAGUUGACCAAACCUUGGGUACGUGAAUGCAGCCUUUACACUGUGCAAAUAUCUCCUCCUGCCUUCCGUGAGGAAGGUGAGGUUUUACUUCUUGCUUCACGGAAGGUCAGGUUGCUGUGUUACCUUGUCAGAAAUUGGGUUGGGUUGAAAAACCAGAAUAAGCUGUGUACCCUGACCCUGCAGGGGUCAGCACUUCUCAGCAUCUUGAAUUUCCUCCAUUGUUAUUCCAGAAUCAUUGGUCUGCCACUGUUUUCACAUGGCGGAGGUGAAUAAUGCAGAUGGCAAUUACUCUUCACAUCAGUCAUGCGUGUGUUCAUUAGUGUGAGCAGCACUGGGGUCCUGCCAGGUCAUGGAACCGCUGUGGGCUUAGGAGCUGCUGGUGCAUGUGGGGACACUCGCUGCAUUCUGAUGGAUUGCUCACCACGUGUGUGAAGCUGGUGUCAUGUGCAUGAUCUGGUGUCAUGGGGAUCCCUGCCAGCACAGCUUUUUGGGGUGAGUCAGUCAGCCAACUCAAAUCAGGAAGUGAUCUAAGGUCUUGCUUGUAAUCCAAACUGAGUAAAGCAAAGCCUUUGUAAUUAUUAUUGUAAUUGAAAAAAAGCAUGAAACCCUUCAGAUGCCCUCCUAGUCCAUCAUGCAAAUGUCAAAGAAGUUGAGCCAGAAAUACUUUCAAUUGUUCUAAAGUAGACAUUAUUCAUGAGAUUGGGCAGUGCUGGAACCACCUCCCAGCAACUUUUCAGGUGGAAAUGCUGAGUGUUGGGUCUGGCAGCUGACACACCCAUUGUGGAUUCUCUUGAGACCGGCAUUCAAGCCAACACUAAAGUACAGAAUUUUGCGUAUUAGCAAAUGGGAGAUUGAGCUAUAUCACAGAAGAAGAAAGUGAAAUAUUUUCCAUUGAGAGAGCAACUAGAAGUUGCAGGACAGCUGCAGACUGACAUUUUAGAAACAAAUCCAAGAAAUCUGUAUUAAAGAGCUGGAGGGACAAGCUCUUUGGGCCUCUGAAUCUUGUGUUUUAGCUAGUGAGUGGAAGAAAGCUUGUUGCUAACACGUGAAGAUGGUGUGAUGGUGGCAAAUAUGAGUCUUGACAUUGAUCCAAAGUAAAAUAAUGGAAUGACUGAAAAAAGACUCUUCAAUAAAGAAUUAAAAGAAUGCCACUAUGUUAAUGUUCAUCUACCUGAGCUUAAGGAAAACAGAUCUUGUCAAAACAGGUUGAUGUGUUUCACUGAGAUUGUAAACUUGACUGAUAAGAGAUGCAGUAAAUGUUUGAGUACAACUCCUUCCUGUCCUGGUCAAGAGACAAAAUGAGCAAUAUCCAACAUAAUGUGGCUUUGACACUGAUGGAUCUCCACAUGGAGGUGGAUGGAGAGAAUCCUAUCUGAGGUAGAGUGCUUAGCAGGACUCCUUGGGGGUCGUUUGCUGCCUUUCCGCUGUUUAACACUCGCACCAAUAGCUUGCUAGAAAAGAUAAAAUCAUUACUGAUAAUGCUUGCAGAUGUGCAUACAGAGUGGAGACUGCCGAGGCGAUAAGUAAGUCAGCUCACCGGAGGAGCCAUCUGGAUUAUUUGAUAAACUGUGAGAAUGUGGGAAAUGCUCAUUUAUUGCUGCCCAGCAUCGGGCUCGUAUUUAGAGAUCAAGGCAGCAGGUCUAUGAGGGGUGGCUCUCUCCCAGAAGUGAAUGGGAGAUCUGAUGGACAGAGAAGGGAGCACAAACCCAACACUUCACCAACUCAUAGGAUUUGGUAAAGCACAGCUGUAGAUAUGGAGGGAACCAUCAGAAAGUCAAACUCCUCCCUGGUGAAGGGAGGUGGGUUGUUGGCAGAGCCAUCAUUUGUUGGAUAGGAUCCACCUUUGUGGAGCACACUAACACAGAUAACAUCUAGGUUUUGAGUGAGAUUUUCAUCUUAGGCUGCCUCUCAGUGCAGGGGUGGAGUUUGCCCUCUGAGCCUGUGAUUGUGCUACAGGAGGACUUACAUUCUGCAUUUAAUGUUUUCCCAGCAAGCUUUUAGAGCUACCAAGGUGUGGGGCUGGAGGGCCGCUUCUGAACCGGGAUGCAUGCACAGGAGCCAAAUCUCAGUCUGAAGCAGAAGAGGGAAAAAAUACCUCCUUUAAGGAAAGCUGGCAGAUGGAACAGAGCAGUACAGUUUCAGCCCCACAGCCUGAAGGUGGUUAGCUGUUGGUGGGGGCUGCCUGUGCCCAUUGCCACUCCCAGGAUCUGUCUCUGGCAGAAGUUCAUGCUGGAUACACCAAGAACCAAUGCCAAAUGCAAUUCUGCCAGGGGAGAUACAGGAGGUGUCAUCUCCUCAGUCUGCUAAAACACGAAGACUUGAGUGCAAAACAUCCUAAUGAGCUGAAAUGUGCAGCGCCAGCUCCCUCAGCUGCCCUCUGAAAUCCCAACACCUCCAUGUAUGAACUAUGCAGGCAUUCCAAAACCUCAGAAUAGAGCCUGCACGUUACGUGACAUCUCAGCUCCUUGCAGAAGCUGACGGCAUUGACUGCUAGAAGUGGGGAUUUCUCCUGUGACACAGGAGUAGAUGCUUUGUUCCCCGUUAGUGGGAGGUCAGCAGAAGCUGCUGUUGACUCGUGGCCAGUCUUAAACCUGGCAAGUUGCUUCAGAGAGGUGUCUAGAUAGGAAUUUUUUGAAUAUCUUCUUCUGGGAUUGUCCUCUCCAAGGGCCUAAUCCAAAAGCCUGUUCAUGUCAGCUUCAGGGAUUUCUGUUUGAUGAUGUAAAGCCUAGAAGGAUGGGAUGCAGAAAGCUGCCCAUCUUCAGUUGUCCUCGAGCAGAUGCUUCUGGCAGGGAUUGCUCCCCUCUGGGGGUGAGGGUGAAUGGAAAUUAGUUACAGAGGGUCCCAAGGGAAGGGGAAAAACAGAUUUCAUUGUGAAUCACAGAGUGGUUUUAGGUUGGAGGGGACCUCAAAACCCACCCAGUCCCCAACCCCUGCCGUGGGCAGAGCUGCUGGAUCAGGCUGCCCGGGGCCCCAUCCAUCCUGGCCUUGAGCACCUCCAGGGAUGGGGCACCACAGCUUCUCAUACACCCACCUGGUCCUUGUGUGCAGUGGAAGUUCUAGUCCUCUGCAAGAGUGGGCAUCCUCAGUCCCCAGCCCCUGAAACUUUAGCUUUCUUAAAUGGUAACAUGUUUGUGUGGUGGAAGUAACUACAAUUUUUCAAGCAAUAAUGGUUUGGGAAUAUUAUAUGAAAUAUUUUAUGCAAGAUUCCAAACGUAAUAUUUUCUGUUGAAAUGAAUUCGUGCCAUCAGUUUUGUCUAGAAAAUGAGAUUUUUGCCAUGGAAAUAAUAGCAGAAUGUUGUCUCUUUGAGAUCAUGAUGAAAGAGGGGCUUUCUCUUACCCUGGAUUUGCAUGCUAUUUUGUUUUUCCCAUAAGUGUCUUGAACAAAAAUCCCAGUGCCUUUAACGCAUGCUCUGAACACUGCUCUGUGGCAUGCUGAAUGGAGUGUGACUGAAACAGACCAAAGGGGAAGGUAUAGAAAUGAUUGUACAAAGAGAGAUUGUUUAGAUAUCUAUAUAUAGCAGGUGAAGCACGUUGCCAGUACGAAGGAGAAAAGUGGAGACUCAGCUGUGUUUACAAAGGCAGAAGAAAUUUUCCUGAAGUGAGACCUAUUUUGACUUGAGCUAUUAAGUUUUCUUGAUUUUUGUGGGGUUAACUCUGAGUAGGAUUUUCAUGUCGUGAUCUUGAGUGAGGGCAUAGCUGACAUGCCUCUAGCUUGCAUUAGCUUUGUAUUCAAGCUUCUCACCCCUGCUGCUGUGUUUGGUGCCUGUGAGGUGGCUGAGGUGGCUGCAGCACAACCCAGGGCAGGCUGUGCCUGGCUGCAGUACUCCACCCCUUCAGUAUACUUCUGGCAAAAGCCUGGCUGGAGAACAGAUGCUUGAUGCUAACCCUUGCUUGAAGCCUUGCUUUGAUCACCUGCUCUUACUCCUUCUCCUCUUUCAUCCCAGUAAAUGUUUUCUUUGCGGCCUCCAUCCAACAAACUCUUUGAGUGCCCACAGGUGUGAGCACACGAAGGGGCUACUACUAGCACAUCUUACUGUGUGUUAAGCUGUACUUCUAAUGAAAAAGAAAUUGCACACACCUGCCCUUGCCAACCCCCAGCCUUUGUAAUUGCUGGGCUGAGAGGAUCUUGUGGCCACCCAGGAAAUACCAGUUUAAGAUGCGAGCCCCUGUAGUGCUCUCUUUGACCUCUGGAGAUGGUUAUAGUGACUGGGAAUUACCCGUGACAGUUCAGCUUUAUCUAUGAGAGCAGUUCUCCUGACUGCUAAAAGAGGCCCAUUCCUGUGUCUCAGUGCCCCACUAACGCAGUUGCCCAAGCACAGUUCGGCUGGUAAUGUGAGGCCACUUGAGACAUUUGCACCAUCAGUGAUCCACAUGGUAGAGGUAGUCAGUGUCAGGUGCAGGUGGAGGUGACUUGGAAAGUGUCGUCCUUGAAGUACCGGGCAAGGGUGAGUGUAUUUUCACAGGGUCAUGCAUCAUUUUUUCCCAUUACAGCCCUUGUGUAGAUGCAUAUGUGACAUACUUGCAGUGGCAUAGUGAAGAUAAAGGAAGCUACGUGGUUCUGAAUGCAUUUUAACAGUAGUUGUGCUCAGCCUUUUAAAUGCUUGGAGUGCACAGUUUCUGAUAGAGAAGUCUGCUAUGGAAAUGUUGCACAGUUGUUUCCCAGUGGCUUAAACACCUUCACACCCAUAUGAGAAAUCAAAUCUGCCUCCAUCCUGCCCCAGGUAAGUGCCAGACAUGUAUCCCAGUACACAAACAUCUUUUCCUGUCCCACUAGGCCACUCAUGCUCCUCACUCCUUCACCAUUAGCUUGAGAGCCUUGUUCUCCAGCCCCUUUCCUGCUGCAGAUGCAGUGAGAAGCAGCAGUGGCUUUGAGGGGGUCUCCUCUGUCCUAUGCCCACUCUAAUCACUGACCCUUCUCUUAAACAGAAGCCUUUGGCCUUUUCUUUCUCCACUACUACUUUCUUUCCUAAUAAUUUCACCCUUCCUACUGCUCCUUUAUUUCUCCUUAAUCCCUUUUCUUUUUCUACCAGGGAGGAUUUAUUUAGCUUCAACUGGAUUUCUUGCUGUACUCAAAUUAUAGCUCCUCAAAAUGAGUCCUGCCCCUCCUUACCACCUUCUUGGCAGAAGCAGGCUGUAAGAACACGCCAUUAAUUAUUUUACUUCCUUCCACUCCCUGCUUGAACUCACUCAGUAGAUAUUGUUCAGGUUUUAGCACUAUUGAGCCCUCCUAGUUCUCCUAGAAAGAGAACAAUGUGAGUCCAGAAGACCUGCCCAAGCGCAUAUGCUGUGGCCUGUUUGAAUGAAUGUCUUACACAUAUGACUGCACACAGAAGAGUUUGUUGUGGCAAUACAGUGUUUGCCGUGUCCAAGGUGGGACUUAACUGGUUAGUACGUCAGUGUAAACCUCAACGGAGUUGCAAGUAUGAAGUUGUGACCAGAAUCUGCUUAUGGUAGCCUCCAUCCACUGGUUUGAUUAGGCAAUAAUUGUCAGACUCAUGGAGUUAUUUAUGGCAUUUAGGUCACAUCAAUGAUAUUUUCCUCCUCUGGAAUGCUGUGAGCGUUCACUGGGUGCAGCCAAGUUCAGGUAGAGAGUGAGAGAACCUACUGUUCCACCUGGACUGCCACAAGUCCAUGGGGCCAGAUGGGAUCCACCCAAGGGUGCUGAGGGAGCUGCUUUCUACCAUCUAUCAGUAUUCCUGAUCAACCAGAGAUGUUCCAGGGGACUGGAAGCUUGGCAGUGUGACUCCCAUCUACAAGAAGGGUUAUAACGAGGAUCUGGGGUACUACAGGCCUGUCUGCCUGACCUUGGUGCCAAGUAAGGUUACGGAGCAGAUCAUCUUGAUCUUGUAAGAUCACAUGGCAUGUGCAGGACAACUGGAGGAUCAGGCACAGCCAGCAUGCAUUCACGAAAGGCAGGUACUGCUUGACCAACCUGAUCUCCUUCUAUGAUUGAGUGACCUGCCUGGUGGAUGAGGGAAAGGCUGUUGACAGUGUAUACCUGGUCGUCAGCAAUGCCUUUGACACUGUCUCCCACAGUAUUCUCCUGGAGAAGCUGGCAGCCUGUGGCUUGGACAGGUACACUCUUUGCUGGGUAAGGAGCUGGCUGGAGGACUGAGCCCAGAGAGUGGUGGUGAAUGGAGUUAAUGGAGGCCAAUGAGAUGAAGUUCAAGAAUAAGUGCCAAGUCCAGCACUUUGGCCACAUCAACCCCAUGCAAUGCUACAGGCUUGAGACAGAGUGACAAGAAGACUGUGUGGAAGAACAAGAGAGGCUGACAUGGUGCUAAGGCCGUCAGCACCAUGGACUUCCCUGCGUCAAGGCUGCACGCAGUUGCCCAAAGGGUUCUGGAGGGAUAUACUUUAUAUAUAUGCAAGUUAUACAUCACAUGAGAGGGAGUAUGAAUCACAGGGUCACAGAAUCAUCAAGGAUGGAAAAGACCUUCAAGACCAUCAAGUCCAACUAUCAACCUGACCUAUGGAGUUACUAAAACCUGCCUCACACCACACGUCUUUACAAGACAGAGCCUUAUUUCCCCCUGUAACCAAGCCUGUCCUGCCCUGCAGGCCAUUCCUUCUCUCUCUGCCCUUCUGCUAACCCUUGCCAUGCCGCUCCUCCACAAGCAUUCUGGAUGGCAAGGAGAGGCUGUAACACCCCACAGCACACCGGCUUCCAACACCUGCAAGGAAUUAAGGGAGGGUGAAACACUCCCAGGAGCCUGGUGCGCAUCCUUCAGCCUCUACAAAAUCCUGAAUUCCUUUUGCAUGAGAACAUGGGUACAUCUGCUUGCAAUCAUCGUUCCCCAGCCAGACGGCCUGCUGAAGCAGAAACAUGAUUCUCCACACUUUGGUCAGCAUUUGCAGCCGAGGGGCCAGGAUUUGAGAGGAGCAGAAUAAGCCUGCCUUUCAGCCACCCUUCCCCAGCAGCCUGCCUGCCCCAGUGCUCACAGUCCUGUGCGAUCCUUGCCCUACUUUCAGGGGUUGAGAAAUGCUUAAAUAAAGAGAAACUUGUUCUGUGGUGGAAAAAUGGUCACUUCUUCUGGCUAGGCAUUUGAGAAGGAGACAGGAAGCAUGUUAUUUUAAAGGUAAACUGAUAAAAUGUUUGUUUGCUGAAGGAACAGGAGGAAUGUCAAAAACAUGUCUUUAUAUACUACUGUACAAGAAGUUAUUUGAGGAUAUAGUUCUGCCCUGACAACAACUGCAGGGUGCUGUAGAGGAAUAUUUUAUCUUUCAGUUGUCUGUGGGCUCAUAUAGGAUCUUUUCCUGGCCCUAAGAAGGCUCUUUGUCAGUGCAUGCACACGAGUGUGUGUACAUAGCUGUGUCAACGCACACUCUGUAGCCAUGGUAAUACCUAAAAAUGUUACAAGGACAGUGAAUGGAAACAGAGAAAUGCUAUCAGAGUCUCUGGUGAUGCUAUUGUUUGAUUCUUAAUGUUUUCCCCAUUUCAGCUGACCAGCAAGAAAACAGCUAAAAGUCCCUAUUUUAAUGAAAGCCUCAUAUGCAAUCCCAUGGCAGGUUGUAGAAUAGAAUCACAGAAUCAUUAGGUUUGGAAAAGACCACCAAGAUCAUAAUGUCCAACCACCAGCCCAUCCCCACCAUGCCCACUGACCACAUCCCUCAGUGCCACAUCCACACGGUACUUGAACACCUCCAGGACGGUGACUCCACCAACCUCCCUGGGCAGCCUGUGCCAGUGCCUCACCACUCCUUCUGAGAAGGAAUCUUUCCUCACAUCUAGCCCGAACCUCCCCUGGUACAACUUGAGGCCACUACUUCAUUAUGUACUUCUAUAGAUUUGCCAGAUUAGAUUUAGAAGGCAGCAGCCUUGAAUGCUUCUAUACAAAAGGACCAAAUUGUACCUUAUGAGUGCGAUUAGGAAUGUCAUGUUCUGGGAAUAAAGUGAAAGUAUUCUUAACAAAAGAAAAUCAGACUAUCAAGUAGCUCAGUUUUCCUGUGAUUCCUGAAAGCAAGCUGGAGGCAGUGACCACAGCACCCUCCUUGUCCUCAGCUCUGAUUGUGCUUGAGCAUCGUCAAGUGGGAUGUCUACCAGUCUGGUUAACAGGCUCCAAGAUGACAUCUUGCUACGUCCCCAAAUGACAUGGCUGCAGAGAGAAUGCUGUAGUGGGAGUCCAGCCAAGGAGACCUUGUCUCUCCAAGGCCUCUGCACUGUUCACAUAUGCCCAACACUCACCAACCUUUUGGCUCUGCUUUUGCUGAGGGAUAGUGUGCUCCUCCACCCUACCCUUACAUGACAUUCAGAAAUCUAGCUAUUUAAGAGAAGAUAUUCUGUGAAGCCAACUGGCAGCUCCAAGUGUUCUUGCUCUCCUUUGGCAAUUUUGCUAGCUAUAGUUGCAGAAAUGUAGAUCAUCAGGUAUUUGAAACUUCAGUAAAUUCAAAGAAAUGCAAAGCCUUUUUGUAACAUUUUCUAGUAGGGGAACACAGGCACACACACAGCUAUAUGGCUGGCCUUUAACAUCUUGUAAUUUAGCCAUAUCUUAACUGAGAUGAAGAUAAGGUGCAGGAACCUAAGCAAGCCAGAGCGCAUCCCUGCAAUCUGGCAGGAAAGGCUUGCAUGUGUGGCAGCUGUAUUUCCUAAUUUCCUCUUCAGAUGCCUUUUACAAAUGUCUGCUUUGUGCAGUGUUUGUUCAGCUCUCCAGCUUGACUUCCAUACAAGAACUGUCCCCAGCCACCAGGGAUAGUGGUGGACAGGCAUCUUUUUAAAAAAUACGGAAUACAUGUAUUCACUGGUAUGCACAUUUCAACACCACAGUUUAUCCACAUGCAUUCCCAUGCAUACAUGCAGAACUUUUAUCCCACAGUAGAACAACUUGUGCUAGUCAAUGAGGAACCAAAGGAAAGCAUCUGUCAUUAAAAAAGCAAUAGGAAGACACAUUUAUUUAGCACAAGCUGAAAUGCAGACAUGUUUUCAUGCUGUGUUUGGCUUGGCUUACCACAGGCAAGGCUUAAUGAAGUACAGAGAGAUUGUCUGAAAGAAACUGUGCAGGGUCUGAUGUUUACUGGAACUUCUCUCUGUUGGCUGCCCCUAAAUGUUCAUUUGGGUGUUGCAACACACUGGCACUCCAAUAAAUCCAUUCUGGUCCUACUUAGAGAUCUCAUACUUGAUGCCUUUCUUUUUUUAAUACGGCUUCCUGCCCUAUGAAUGCUAAUGUAGGUCUUCUUGACAGACCUUGUCCUAAUAAUGACAUAUAGAGAUGAAAACCUCUCCUGUGAUGGCACAGGAGAGGUGUGCCUUUAGCUGUGUCAAUAGCUUUUGAAAGCAUUGACAGUGAAGUGUGAUUGCCUGUGGAACUGAACUGUUAACAGAGCAUGGGUCAAGCUUGGAUUUUCAGUUAGAGGAAGGAUAAGCCUGCAGGUAAGUGUAUCUCUCUGGCAGUCAGCAAGCCUAAAGGUUAGAUCUCAAUGUAGCAACGGGAAAAUCCACAUCCCUUUUACACUUCUUUCUAAUGUCUGUGCUUGUACAGAACUCUUCUUACUACUUGCCAUGCAGCUUUCAUCCUCAGCAGGUGGCACACGCACAAAUGUUUUGCUUCUGGGAGUAAACGUAAUUUGUCAAGGCCUCAUGCAAUUGUGUUUCACUCCUGCUCCUUAGUCUUGCUGAUCUGUUAUGCCCUUUUCCUUGCCCUUCUGCUUCCCUGUAGACCCUCAGCUCAUUGUAACCCUGUAAUCAGCGCCUGUCCCUUUUCAGGUAUUGCUUGAAGUCACUACUGUGCAAUUGAAGGGAAAAUGGUAACGACUGAUUUGAAGGGAGCUUGGCUUCAGCUGACAUUUCUGUGUAAAUUUCAAACAAGCAGUUUUGUAGGUGAUUUGUAAAUGUAUAAACUCUGUGGUACUACCUGUCUUUUCCUUCCUUUCAUAUCUGAGUGAGAUGCAUUGAUUCUAAGACUAGGAGACAUCAGUCUGGUCUGACCACCUGCAUAAUUCAGAUCCUCUGACAUCCCUGUAAAAAUUCAGCUUUCUGGAUCAUAAAGAGUACCUGUGACAGUGAUUGUCUUUUAGAAAGAAAAACAAUCUACCCCGAUUAAGAAAGAUCCACCUGUUCCUACACAAUCCUUCUUACAUUCUUCCUGUGUUUCCCAACAAAAACGUUGUCUUACACAUGUGCCACUCUGAAAGCAAUGCCUCCUAUUUAUUUCCAUGGAAACUACAACAGAUACAAAGAGAACAAUGACAUUGUUUGAUAGAGCAAAUUCUCAGCUACAAAACACUCUUUUUCAACAGAGUCACCAUCAUUAGCUAUGCAUUUUCACCAGUGAUGAACAAGAGCCUGCAUGUUGCACUUGUAACAAUCUGCAAGGCCAUUCAGAGCAUGGCUUGUCUUUGACAUCGCUGUCACCACUGCUGAAGCACACCACCACUGUCUCACUGUGCUCACAUCCACUGUUUGGUCUCCAUCAGCAUUCAGCAAGUAUUGGUGAAUGUCAGUGGAUGCCAUUUUUUCUGCAUGAAGGAGUUCAGUGACACACCUUUGCUUCAUACGCACAUCUAUAUCAAAUGCCACUGUGUCAGAGUGCCCCUCUUCUGCCAUCUGACACACAGCAACAAAAUGUAAUGGAAUAUUUGUGGGAAGGUUCAACCUCUACUGCCGUGCCACCAACACCCACCUCUGACAUUGUGGGCUUACAUAAAAAAACAGGAGGCAUUACUUUCGGAGCUGCUCUCAUACCUUCCGAACACUCAUUAACCCCAUCUGGUAUUUUUCCUCUGAAGUUAAAUUCUGAAGUCAUUACAAUGACUCUAUCCAUAUCUCUACCUGUCUGUUCAUAACAAGUGCACAGAAUCCUGAUAUCAGUGAACAAAAUGGGCACAUUCCUUAACUGUCAUUUUUCUUGUCACAAAUUAAUCCUUAGAUUAUUUUGGAUAAUUUAUUCCUAAAGCUGUUCACAUAGUCUGGGAAAGGAAAAGGCAGAUACAUUUUCCAAUGCUGUGUUAGGAAGAGAAUGCGCUUAGAUUUUUGAAUAAUAUUUGUAUUACGUAUAUACUUACAUAUAUAAAUGAGUUUAGUUCUCUGUGUGUGAGAGUUUAUGUUUAAAUGAAAAUAUGUGAUGUUUAAAUGGAAACCAGCAAUGGAAAUGGGAGAGAAACCUCUGACAAAAAUAAGACGAGAUGGAAUUUGUCCAUAAUGAAACCAAAACGUGUGUCAGCCUUUGUUUUACAUUUUUCUCUUAGGUAUGAGCCUAAUCUGGAGUUGUCUGUGCUCUUACAGGUAAAUGAAUCUGUGCCUUGGGCAGUAGGAUCUUUCCUAGAGGAAACUGAUGGAUUGCUUCUAAUAUUGAGACUGUAGGUUUGAUGGGAACUGUGGUGUUGUCUUAAUUAUAAUGUUGUUGAUCUUACAGCAGUUUUUUUUUAUCAGAUAAAAAGGCCUCUUUCUGCCCCGUAUUUCUCUCCUCCCUUUCCAAAAGUUUCAGUAUGGCUUGUCUUAAAGACAAAUAAAAAAGCCAAAUAAGAUUACUGCGAUGGAAAACUUUUCCAUAGGAGUAUUUAGUGGCUUUGUAACGAUUUGGUUAUGUUGGGGUGGGGCUUUUUAUUUUAUUUUAUUUUUAAAAGUGUAGAAGAAUUUCUCAUGAAAGUUCCAACCCAAACCACACAAAGGAAUUUUCAUACAAAAUGAUUGACCUUGCUAAAACCAAGGGCAAAUGUUGCUUUUGAAUCAGAAAACAUGGAUUCUUGUCCAGGGGCCUAGAAUUUGCUCAGCAGAGCACCAGGAGGGGUCUCUGAAAAAUGUGCUCCUGUGUUGGGUGCUUCCUACUUCAAAGUCCACACCACCUGUGCACACCCUGUUUUCUCCUCACCGAGAGAAGGCAUAGCAUCCUCUCCUACCAUCUCCAAUAAACUAGUGUUUAAAACAACAACAUUCUAUUGCAUCUCACUUGCCACCACCACAUCUGCAUUAAUCAGUAGGAAAAAAGCAAACUUUAACUGACAGUGUCUGAGAAGAAUCUCCCAGUUACGACUUGAAUGAAAACCUUACACCACUGUGUGGCCUCUCCUGCUCUACC